rnacentral:rRNA from 1 species
GUUUGAUCCUGGCUCAGGAUGAACGCUAGCUACAGGCUUAACACAUGCAAGUCGAGGGGAAACGAUAUUGAAAGCUUGCUUUCGAUAGGCGUCGACCGGCGCACGGGUGAGUAACGCGUAUCCAACCUGCCCAUAACUAAGGGAUAAUCCGUAGAAAUGCGGUCUAAUACCUUAUGUGAUCCGAGGAAGACAUCUGAUUUGGAUUAAAGAUUUAUCGGUUAUGGAUGGGGAUGCGUCUGAUUAGAUUGUUGGCGGGGCAACGGCCCACCAAGUCUGCGAUCAGUAGGGGUUCUGAGAGGAAGGUCCCCCACAUUGGAACUGAGACACGGUCCAAACUCCUACGGGAGGCAGCAGUGAGGAAUAUUGGUCAAUGGGCGGGAGCCUGAACCAGCCAAGUAGCGUGCAGGAUGACGGCCCUAUGGGUUGUAAACUGCUUUUGUAUGGGGAUAAAUUGCUCCACGUGUGGAGUAUUGCAGGUACCAUACGAAUAAGGACCGGCUAAUUCCGUGCCAGCAGCCGCGGUAAUACGGAAGGUCCGGGCGUUAUCCGGAUUUAUUGGGUUUAAAGGGAGCGUAGGCCGUGGAUUAAGUGUGUUGUGAAAUGUAGGCGCUCAACGUCUGACUUGCAGCGCAUACUGGNCCACUAGAGUGCGCGCAACGCGGGCGGAAUUUGUCGUGUAGCGGUGAAAUGCUUAGAUAUGACGAAGAACCCCGAUUG